CUACAUUCAGAGCAUGAUCCCGGUGGCACUCUACGACACGCUAGGCGAAGACGCUGUGAUCUG
rnacentral:ribozyme from 1 species